rnacentral:rRNA from 1 species
CCUACGGGAGGCUGCAGUGAGGAAUAUUGGUCAAUGGACGAGAGUCUGAACCAGCCAAGUAGCGUGAAGGAUGACUGCCCUAUGGGUGGUAAACUUCGUGUAUAAAGGAAUAAAACGAGGCACGUGUGCCUUUUUGCAUGUACUUUAUGAAUAAGGAUCGGCUAACUCCGUGCCAGCAGCCGCGGUAAUACGGAGGAUCCGGGCGGUAUCCGGAUUUAUUGGGUUUAAAGGGAGCGGAGAUGGGUUCUUAAGUCCGUUGUGAACGUUUGCGGCUCAACCGUAAAAUUGCCAUUGAUACUGGCAGUCUUGAGUACAGUUGAGGUAGGCGGAAUUCGUGGUGUAGCGGUGACAUGCUUCGAUAUCACGAAGAACCCCGAUUGCGAAGGCAGCUUACUAAACUGUGACUGACAUUGAUGCUCGAAAGUGUGGGUAUCAAACAGGAUUAGAUACCCGGGUAGUC